CGUGUGCACUUCUCGCUCUGCCACACCCCCACGGGAUACAGCAGUGAUAAAAAUUAAGCUAUGAAUGAAAGUUUGACUAAGCUAUAUUAAACAAGGGUUGGUAAAUUUCGUGCCAGCCACCGCGGUCAUACGAUUAACCCAAACUAAUAGACCCACGGCGUAAAGCGUGUUAUAGAGAAAAACUCAUACUAAAGUUAAACCUUAACUAGGCUGUAAAAAGCUACAAUUAACGUAAAAAUACAGCACGAAAGUAACUUUAACAUCUCCGACCACACGAUAGCUAAGACCCAAACUGGGAUUAGAUACCCCACUAUGCUUAGCCCUAAACCUAGAUAGUUUAACUAAACAAAACUAUCCACCAGAGAACUACUAGCAACAGCUUAAAACUCAAAGGACUUGGCAAUGCUUUAUAUCCCUCUAGAGGAGCCUGUUCUAUAAUCGAUAAACCCCAAUAUACCUCACCAUCUCUUGCUAAAUCAGCCUAUAUACCGCCAUCUUCAGCAAACCCUAAAAAGGGAAGAAAAGUAAGCACAAGUAUCU